GAGACUGUCCGUGGGAAAAACAAAACGUGGGCCAGAGAAGGCCGAGGGGGCCACCCCAGCCCUCCACCCCCGCCGACCCCGCUUCGCUCUCUUUUAGGGGGCGUUUCUGACCCACCUCACCACCACCAUCACCACGUCCCCCCAUCCCGCUCCUCAGGGUUCAAGUUCAGCUACGCUGGACGGGCCCCGGGGACCGCCUGCCAGUGCGGCCUCCAGGGUUGGAGGAGCCUUGGUGUCCCCCGGGACCUGGCUAGGGGCAGAGUCCAGGGUCCAGGUCCCUGGAGGCCCCUCUAGGUGGCCCUUGAGCAGAAGGGAGAGUGUGUGGUCUCUCUCCCGGAGAGCUGAGGGAGGGGGCGUCAGUGUCCACCCUGAAAGCCACGUUCAGCGCAGGCCUUCGCACCCAGGGCAGUGCCCUGAGCUGGAGACAAGAAGCCUUGUGAGGGCCCUGGCCAUGAUCCGCAGGGGUGCUGGGCUCUCACAGAAGCUGGCAUUUCUGAUUUGGUUCCUUAUCUGUUCUUCCAGGACAAAGCCGCGCCCCCGGCUCUUGUAACCAUCCCAGCAGGGGCCUGUCCCCAGCCCACGGUGAGCUUGCCGAGCUCACAGCGUGUGCCUUCCCCGGGAAGCGGCACUUGCUACAGGAGAUGCUUGGAACAGAGGUUCCUUAAACAGACGUGAGACAGGACGGAGGUUUGUAACGUCAAAGGCAGGAAGCAGAAGCAAUGCAAAGCCACGGACCAUUGCAAAGAGGACAAGAUCUGUCUUUGAGUGCGCAUCCUCAAAACCCGAAAUCUAUGGUGCUACUGGAUUAGAUGAACACAGUUAAUUACUACUGCGGUGCUUAUGAAUCGGAAGACGUCCCAGCUUACAACAGUUCCACUUCAAAUGGUCUGACUUCAGAAUGUUUCACACAUCAAGAAAGCUCCAGCACUCACCGGUCGCUAGUGAAAAUGUACCCUACAAGGUCCUUGCAGCUCAACAGCAUGACACAGAAGACGACAGCAAUCAGCUCUGGAGCGCAACCGCGGAUGACUUCUUUGCUUGCUCAAUGUUUCCGGCACCCAGCGCGUUUCCUACCCGGACGUUGACAGCCACACUUAAGCCCAUAGGGAUCUAAAAGGAACAGGAGACCGCAGAGUGAGAGCGUGGAGCAGAGAGGCAGCCUGGCACCUCACACCUCAGUGGUCAAUCUUUGGUCACACUCAAAAGAUCAAGUUGUGUCAUCCUUCCAGGUGGUUCAGCUGGCUGCAAUGGAGACCCCACAUGUCUCUCAAGGCUCACGGCCCAGGAACAGCAUUAGGGCACAGCAGGUUAAGCCAUUGCUUGCAACACCAACACCCCCUCUUAGAGCACCUGUUUGGGUCCCAGCUGCUCUGCUCCUGAUCCAGCCUCUGCUACUGCAUGGAGAAGCAACCAGAAGGUAGCCUGAGUCCUGGGAACCCUGGAGCUCCUGGCUCUUGGCUUCAGCCUAGCCCAGCUACUG